GACAUCCAGAGAACUUAGCAGAGAUGCUUUGGUGCCUUCGGGAACUUUGAGACAGGUGCUGCAUGGCUGUCGUCAGCUCGUGUUGUGAAAUGUUGGGUUAAGUCCCGNAACGAGCGCAACCCCUAUCCUUUGUUGCCAGCGAUUCGGUCGGGAACUCAAAGGAGACUGCCGGUGAUAAACCGGAGGAAGGUGGGGAUGACGUCAAGUCAUCAUGGCCCUUACGAGUAGGGCUACACACGUGCUACAAUGGCGCAUACAAAGAGAAGCGACCUCGCGAGAGCAAGCGGACCUCAUAAAGUGCGUCGUAGUCCGGAUUGGAGUCUGCAACUCGACUCCAUGAAGUCGGAAUCGCUAGUAAUCGUAGAUCAGAAUGCUACGGUGAAUACGUUCCCGGGCCUUGUACACACCGCCCGUCACACCAUGGGAGUGGGUUGCAAAAGAAGUAGAUAGCUUAACCUUCGGGAGGGCGUUUACCACUUUGUGAUUCAUGACUGGGGUGAAGUCGUAACAAGGUAAGCGUACGUGU
rnacentral:rRNA from 1 species